AUGCUGGGCUAGCCAGUUGUGAUGAAAAAUGUAAAGGGGAUAUUAGACAAGGUCUAAUUCCUGAUUGUGGUCUAAUUUUUGAUGUAAUUGAUUGGGGACUGGACAUAAUUUUGUUUAAAUAAGAAGGUGAACCUAAUGCUAAUGUUUUGUCCGAUGAGGAAGAUCCCAAAGCUAAUUCUUUGUUUGAUACUUUUGGUGGACCAUAAUUAUCCCGAGGAUCUGAUGUUGCUUUGCUACUCAUUUUUACCCU
rnacentral:lncRNA from 1 species